CCAUCGGUGGUUCAGUGGUAGAAUGCUCGCCUGCUACGCGGGCGGCCCGGGUUCGAUUCCCAGCCGAUGCA
rnacentral:tRNA from 1 species